rnacentral:misc_RNA from 1 species
GGUUUUUUUUUUCUAUUUAGUUUUCUCCAUAAGUUCAGUUAUCUCAUUGGUGAAGAAAUUUGGGGAUUUUAGUGACUUUCAGGUGAUUGUCUGAUGGUGUCUUGAUUGGAUACCUAGAACAAAAAGAAAUUAAUAAAAUAUUUUAUCUUUGGUUCAUAUAAAAUUUUGUUAAUACCUAUUGUUACCCCUUUUUUUGAACAAGAAAAAAAUUGAUUAUUUUUAAAGCUUGCUCUUUUAUUUUGAUGCCUUUAUUUUCGAACUUGUUUUUUGAUUGAUCAGUAGAUGGGGAAGUGUUGUGUUUGUUGUGUUGGUUGGGGUUGAAUUUAUUUUAUUAGUCUGAAUACUUUUUGAGUUGUCUUUUUUUGUUUUUGGGAUUCUCCUUAAUCUGUAAUGAUUUUAUUCCCGCAUAAUCUUGGUGAUAAAUUCUUGUCUUGUUCGUCUUGAUUAUAUCCGAAAUUCCUCAUCUAGAG